CCUACGGGCGGCAGCAGUGAGGAAUAUUGGUCAAUGGACGAGAGUCUGAACCAGCCACGUAGCGUGAAGGAUGACUGCCUUAUGGGUUGUAAACUUCUUUUAUAUGGGAAUAAAAUGUUCCACGUGUGGGAUUUUGUAUGUACCAUAUGAAUAAGGAUCGGCUAACUCCGUGCCAGCAGCCGCGGUAAUACGGAGGAUCCGAGCGUUAUCCGGAUUUAUUGGGUUUAAAGGGAGCGUAGGUGGAUUGUUAAGUCAGUUGUGAAAGUUUGCGGCUCAACCGUAAGAUUGCAGUUGAAACUGGCAGUCUUGAGUACAGUAGAGGUGAGCGGAAUUCGUGGUGUAGCGGUGAAAUGCUUAGAUAUUACGAAGAACACCGAUUGCGAAGGCAGUUCACUGGACUGCAACUGACACUGAGGCUCGAAAGUGUGGGUAUCAAACAGGAUUAGAUACCCUUGUAGUC
rnacentral:rRNA from 1 species